GAUGAACGCUAGCGGGAGCCUAAUACAUGCAAGUCGAGCGGUAGAGUGACUUCGGUUGCUUGAGAGCGGCGCACGGGUGAGUAACGCGUACAUGACCUACCUUUAAGACUGGGAUAGCCCUGGGAAACUGGGAUUAAUACCGGAUGUGAUAAUACGUAUAGAGAUGUAUUAUUAAAGUUGAGGCGCUUAGAGAUGGAUGUGCGUCUGAUUAGCUAGUUGGUAGGGUAACGGCCUACCAAGGCGACGAUCAGUAGGGGGCUGAGAGCGUGGCCCCCCAACGGGUACUGAGACACGGACCCGACUCCUACGGGAGGCAGCAGUAAGGAAUAUUGGUCAAUGGACGGAAGUCUG
rnacentral:rRNA from 1 species